GACGAACCGUCCAAACGUUAUUCGGUAUCACUGGGCUUAAAGCGUCCGUAGGCGGCCUAGUAGGUGAGAUGUGAAAGCCCACGGCUCAACCGUGGAACAGCGUUUCAAACCACUAGGCUCGAGGAUGGCAGGGGUAAUGGGAACUGAUGGUGGAGCGGUGAAAUGCGUUGAUAUCAUCAGGAACACCGGUGGCGAAAGCGCAUUACUGGGCCAUUUCUGACGCUGAGGAACGAAAGCUAGGGUAGCGAACGGG
rnacentral:rRNA from 1 species